rnacentral:rRNA from 1 species
KYGGGUUCACCCGAAGGCGUUGCGCUAACUCGCAAGAGAGGCAGGCGACCACGGUGGGCUUAGCGACUGGGGUGAAGUCGUAACAAGGUAGCHGUAGGUGAACYUGCAGARGGAUCA